GGACAUGCAGGAGGUAUCCUGAAAUUUGUUUAAUUUAGAGUCUCCCGGAGAUGGGAUUUUUUGGGGGUUUACAACCUGCAAUGUCCGAGCUUGGAUCUGGCUGAAUUUGGAGUGGUGCCAGUCAGGAAUUUCUGUGGAGUUUCUUUCCAUCAUUAGUGAAGAGAAACUCAACAUCUCUGAGCUGAGAGCUCGGAAAAUAACUUUGGAGUGGUUUUUGAUGGCAUCUCUCUGUCAGCUUAGAGGUGAAAACAUGACUGGGACGUGGGAUGAGGCUGGGUCUCAUUUUGUGACGGAAUAGUGGAACCCAUUCCAAGAGCCCAUGAAUGGAUUUAACUCCUCCUGGAGCUGUGGGGAAUGAGGCACUCUGGAAACAUCCUUUUCCAUCCCUCUGACUGCACUUUCUCUGUGGCAUCUGUUCCCCAUCAGUGGGAGGAUCUCGGUGGAUUUCAGUCUCAUCAGUUUUGUCCACCUGUAACUCUUGGGUUUUCACACCUCUCUUUUUUAUUUCUUUUUCUUCUUUUCUACCAGGUUCAAACAAAAUCCUGGUUUUGCUGAUGACACUGGGGGAAGUUGCCCAGAGAAGCUGUGGCUGCCCCAUCCCUGAAAGUGUCCAAGGUUGGACAGGGCUUGGAACAACCUGGGAGAGUGGAAGGUGUCCCUGCCCAUGGCAGGGGGUAGAAUGGGAUCAUCUUUAAGGUCUUUCCAACCCAAACCAUUCCGGGAUUCUGAAUGUCAGUGCUAUUUCUAAAAUAUCUCGAUUUUCCUCUGCUUUGGAGGUUCUCAGUGUGUGUCCAUCUGUGCAUGUGUGGGUGGUGGUUGCAUUUCAGAAUUUCCAGGACUGUUAUAGCUCUUAUGUUUUUUUCCAAACAACUUCCUCCAGUGUGAGUUCUCCCUCCUGACGGAUCCGGACCCCACUUGGAAGAGUUCUCCAUGGAUGAGGGAAGCUGGAUAAAGAAGCUGAAUUAAAGCCUCUCUCACUGGAGGUGAUUUAAGGAUUCCUCCACAGCAGAACCAUGUAACAAAAAUCCAGAUUUGUUUCAGAUAUUGGACGCAUUUCCCACCCUCCACGUGUUGAUGCUGCCGGUGACAAACUGUGGAAAAAACUCCUGAAGUGUGAGCCAAGAAUUCCCUUCAUCAGCCUUUUGCUAAGGUGCAUAGUUUAUCCCGAUUUUUCCUGAUUUAUCCCAGCCUCAACCUCGCUCAGACACAUUCCCAAGGCGUGUCUCCUCCGAGCCUCUUGGGAGCACCAUUUCCACGUCUCUCUGGACUGGCUGGACACGUCACCAUCGCCGUCCCUGUCCCGGGGUGUCUCAGGCCAGGAAUGGGUCCUGAGGGGAGAAGUGACCCGUGGAAUGUGAGGAGGAGGAGCUGGAGCCCAGAGGUUGGAUGGGGCAGCCCUGGCAGCUUGCCUGAAACCAGAGAUUCCUGGGAGGUGUCCAAGCCAAUCGCUGAACCCAACUGGAUUUUGUGAACCUGAACUCUGGAGCUGCUCUGGUCCCUGCAGCACUUUGGUUGUCCCAGCUCCCUCUCCCGGCAUCCCAGUGACCCUUUCACAAUCUCUUUGUGUCCCAAGCACAGAGGGAGCAGAGCUGAGCCCGACUCCAGCACAUCCAAAGGUGGGGAAGCAGCCAAGGCCUUGGAAUCCAUCCUGGGCUGGGAGCAGAGCAGAGCCUGAGCUCAGCGCCGGGGCAGCUCCGCACAUGGAACGUGACGGCUUUGGAGAGCGGCACCUCUGCGCUCCUCAGUUCCAGGAAUGUUCUAGGAAGUGGGCAGGAGCCUCCUGGUUUGGUGAGAGCAGGAGCAGCCCCAUUUCCCUGCAGUUUGGGCUCUCAGGAUGCUGCUGUGGCACAGCAGCCCUCGGUGUUCUGGGUGGUGUUUGGGGCUUGGAGCCUCCUGCCCCCCAUUUCCCCCAAGUGCUUUUAUCCCCUUCUCUCUCAUCCCACCAAACCUUUUCCCUGCAGCUGGCAGAAAAUGGGAUUUUCUGGUUAAUACCAAAAUAAAAACAGCAGUGUCCAGCAUGGGAUGGGAGAGGGAAGGGGGAGAGCCAGGGGCUGGGAUGGACAAGGAGCACGGGCUGUACAUCCCAGAGAGCUGGAGGUGCUGCAGGACAGGAAAAUCCCGAAGCAAUCAGCAGAGCUGGGAUGGGAUCUGAGUCCUUUUCCAGCUCCUGCAGCCUUAGGAUUGUUCCUUGUGGGAUUCCUCUCCCUUUUCCCAGGCAGUGCCGAGCGUUUGGGGUUUGUUCCAGGGCUUUUCUUUGUAGUGAUGGGGAAAACAUGAGCAGAGUCACUUCCCCACUCCCUGUAACAGGAAUAAAACAUGAGCAGGAAAAAACAGCUUUUGGUGGGGGCCAAAGGUCUUGCAGAGGUUGCCUCCGUGGAAUGGCAGCGAGCAGAAAUCUCCAAGGAUUUUCCAGGUGCUUUAUUGGAUAUCCUCCCUGUGUUAGUCCAGGUUCCAUCCUCCCUCUGGGAAGGAUUCAGACCCUGGGGUUGUGUUGACUUCGAGCCUGAUUUGAUUCCUUUCCCUGGGGAAUGCACACACCCCCAAAAUGGAUGGCUGGAAAAGUGGGUCCAGCCUUUGCUGUGAGGGAGGAACUUGUGAUCCCCUCCAAAGCCCUGGCAGUCCCAAAGCCCUGGGAUUGGAUCUUGCUUGGAUUUUCCUCCUUCCUUCACUCAUUCACUUCACCAAGCAGCUGGAAUCCAGCACCGGCUCCGACCAAGGAAUGGGAAGAGGGAUGCUCAGGAAUCUCUGGGGUGGGACUGGAUAAUCCUUAAGGUCCUUCCCACCCAAACCAUCCCGGGAUCAUGUGAUUUAUGACCCAAAUUUGCCUUUAUGCCCCACAUCCCCUUCCUCUGCCCCAGCCAGGCAAACUCCUUCCCUGCACCCCAAAUCUCUCCGGAAAAACACAGAGAGAGAAUGGAAGAAUCCGACUGAGGGGCUGAAAUGGGUUAAGGAGCAAGAUUAGAUCAAAUAUUUCUGAGCAUCUGGGGCUUCUUGACCACCCCAUUGUGGCCCAUCCCUGGCUGUCAGACCCUGAGCAUUCCCAGAAGGAGUUAAGGGAGACCUGGGCGGGAGCCAAGAGCUUUUGCCGGAAGCUUUAUCUUCCCCCCAAAAAGAAUCUGAUGUCUGGAGCUCUGGACGAGGCAUUGUCCUCAUAAAACACAACAAGAACAACAAAACAAGCCCUGCUAUUCCCAGCUCUGUAACAAGCCA